rnacentral:rRNA from 1 species
AUUGAACGCUGGCGGAAUGCUUUACACAUGCAAGUCGAGGGGUAGCAGGAUUAAGCUUGCUUAAUUGCUGACGACCGGCGCACGGGUGCGUAACGCGUAUGCAACCUACCUUAUACUGGGGUAUAGCCCGGAGAAAUUCGGAUUAAUCCCCCAUAGUACUAAUGAAUCGCAUGGUUUAUUAGUUAAAGCAUUGCGGUAUAAGAUGGGCAUGCGUCCUAUUAGCUAGAUGGUGAGGUAACGGCUCACCAUGGCUACGAUAGGUAGGGGGCCUGAGAGGGUGGUCCCCCACACUGGUACUGAGACACGGACCAGACUCCUACGGGAGGCAGCAGUGAGGAAUAUUGGUCAAUGGGCGCAAGCCUGAACCAGCCAUGCCGCGUGCAGGAAGAAUGCCCUAUGGGUUGUAAACUGCUUUUAUUUGGGAAUAAACCUCUUUACGUGUAGAGAGCUGAAGGUACCAAAUGAAUAAGCACCGGCUAACUCCGUGCCAGCCGCCGCAGUAA